rnacentral:rRNA from 1 species
UAGGGAAUCUUCGGCAAUGGACGAAAGUCUGACCGAGCAACGCCGCGUGAGUGAAGAAGGUUUUCGGAUCGUAAAACUCUGUUGUUAGAGAAGAACAAGGACGUUAGUAACUGAACGUCCCCUGACGGUAUCUAACCAGAAAGCCACGGCUAACUACGUGCCAGCAGCCGCGGUAAUACGUAGGUGGCAAGCGUUGUCCGGAUUUAUUGGGCGUAAAGCGAGCGCAGGCGGUUUCUUAAGUCUGAUGUGAAAGCCCCCGGCUCAACCGGGGAGGGUCAUUGGAAACUGGGAGACUUGAGUGCAGAAGAGGAGAGUGGAAUUCCAUGUGUAGCGGUGAAAUGCGUAGAUAUAUGGAGGAACACCAGUGGCGAAGGCAGGUCACUGGGCCAUUACUGACGCUGAGGAGCGAAAGCAUGGGUAGCGAACAGG